CCCUUAGAUGUCCGGGGCCGCACGCGCGCUACACUGAAGGAAUCAGCGUGGCUUUCUCCCUGACCCGAAAGGGUUGGGAAACCCGUUGAAUCUCCUUCGUGAUAGGGAUUGGGGCUUGAAAUUGUUCCCCAUGAACGAGGAAUUCCCAGUAAGCGCGAGUCAUAAGCUCGCGUUGAUUACGUCCCUGCCCUUUGUACACACCGCCCGUCGCUACUACCGAUUGAACGGUUUAGUGAGGGCCUCGGAUUGGUCUCGGCCCGCUCCUUACCGGGCGGCGCCGUUGGUCGAGAAGACGCUCGAACUUGAUCGUUUAGAGGAAGUAAAAGUCGUAACA
rnacentral:rRNA from 1 species